UGUCACUGACCAACCUGCAGAUGGUUCUCGAGCACUUCCAGCAAGAGGAAAAAGCUAUGUAUUCUGCUGAAUUAGAAAAGCAAAACCAGCUCUUAACUGAAUGGAAGAAAAAGGCAGAGAGUCUGGAAGGAAAAGUGCUGUCACUGCAGGAACGUUUGGAUGAAGCAAAUGCUGCACUGGACUCAGCGUCAAGACUUACAGAACAGUUAGAU
rnacentral:lncRNA from 1 species